rnacentral:ribozyme from 1 species
CGAAAAAGGUCAGUCACCCAUCGGAAGUUGUUGUCCAUGCUGUCGUCGUCGUCGUCGUCGUUAUUGUUGUUGGUGUUGGAGUUGGGGGUGGAAGUGAUGAUGGCGGUGAUGGUGGU